rnacentral:rRNA from 1 species
GUUGUACGGGAUUAUUGGUAGCAAUACUGAUAUGAGAGUAGCGCACGGGUGCGUAACACGUAUGCAACCUACCUUUAACUGGGGAAUAGCUCACCGAAAGGUGAAUUAACACCGCAUAAAAUCACAGAAGGACAUCCUUUAAUGAUUAAAUCUCCGGAGGUUAAAGAUGGGCAUGCGUCCGAUUAGCUAGUUGGCGGGGUAAUAGCCCACCAAGGCAACGAUCGGUAGGGGGUCUGAGAGGAUGAUCCCCCACACUGGUACUGAGACACGGACCAGACUCCUACGGGAGGCAGCAGUAAGGAAUAUUGGACAAUGGGGGCAACCCUGAUCCAGCCAUGCCGCGUGAAGGAUGAAGGCCCUAUGGGUCGUAAACUUCUUUUACAGGGGACAAAUAUCCAGUUCGUGAACUGGAUUGAUGGUACUCUGAGAAUAAGGGUCGGCUAACUUCGUGCCAGCAGCCGCGGUAAUACGAAGGACCCGAGCGUUAUCCGGAUUUAUUGGGUUUAAAGGGUGCGUAGGCGGAUUUACAAGUCAGUGGUGAAAUCUCCCAGCUCAACUGGGAAACUGCCAUUGAAACUGUUUAUCUUGAGUACAUUUGAGGCGGGCGGAAUGUGUCAUGUAGAGGUGAAAUUCUUAGAUAUGACACAGAACACCAAUUGCGAAGGCAGCUCGCUAAACUGUAACUGACGCUGAGGCACGAAAGCGUGGGGAUCAAACAGGAUUAGAUACCCUGGUAGUCCACGCCCUAAACGAUGAUUACUCGAAGUGUGCGAUACACAGCACGCCUCUGAGCGAAAGCAUUAAGUAAUCCACCUGGGAAGUACGACCGCAAGGUUGAAACUCAAAGGAAUUGACGGGGGCCCGCACAAGCGGAGGAGCAUGUGGUUUAAUUCGAUGAUACGCGAGGAACCUUACCUGGGCUUGAAAGUUAGUGAAUGC